rnacentral:rRNA from 1 species
AGGUAGUAUCCCCAAGAAAAACCUAUGUAGUUUGGCGGCAUUAGCCCUAGUCAAAGGAACUUGUUUUAUAAUCGAUACUCCCCGUUAAAUCUCACUUCGGAUUAAAGCUUACAUACCGCCGUUUUAAGACCAAGCCAAAAUACUAUACUCUCGACAAACCGCUUUACAAACCAGGUCAAGGUGUAGCCUACUCAGAAGACAAAAUGAGUUACAAUAAACGUUAUUUACAGCACUUUUUAUAAUCAAUCUUGGAAAAUAGGAUUUGAAUUCAACUGUUAAAUAAUAUUUAACACUGAACCAGCAAGCAAAUGUGC